AGCUCCAAUAGCGUAUAUUAUAGUUGUUGCAGUUGAAAUACUCGUAGUUGGAUUUCUGGCAAGAGUGACUGGUCACACACUCUGUGUGUGAACUUGUGUUGUCUCUGACUAUCCUUGGGGAGAUCCUGUUUGGCAUUAAGUUGUCGGGCAGGGGAUACCCAUCGUUUACAGUGAAAGAAUAGAGUGUUUAACACAGGCUUAUGCUGUUGAAUAGAUUAGCAUAGAAUAAUAAAAUAGGACUUCAGAACUAUUUUGUUGGUUUGCGUUACGAAGGAAUGAUUAAUAGGGACAGUUGGGAAUAUUCGUAUUUUGCUGUCAGAGAUGAAAUUCUUGGAUUUCCGAAAGGAGAAAUACUAUAAAAGCAUUUACCAAGGAUGUUUUCA
rnacentral:rRNA from 1 species